GAUGAACGCUGGCGGCGUGCCUAAUACAUGCAAGUCGAGCGAACAGACGAGGAGCUUGCUCCUCUGACGUUAGCGGCGGACGGGUGAGUAACACGUGGAUAACCUACCUAUAAGACUGGGAUAACUUCGGGAAACCGGAGCUAAUACCGCAUAAUAUCUUUAACCGCAUGGUUCAAUAGUGAAAGACGGUUUUGCUUUCACCUAUAGUUGUAUCCGCGCCGCAUUAGCUAGUUGGUAAGGUAACGGCGUACCAAGGCAACGAUGCGUAGCCGACCUGAGAGGGUGAUCGGCCAAACUGGAACUGAGCACCGGUCCAGCCUCCUACGGGAGGCAGCAGUAGGGAAUCUUCGGCAAUGGGCGAAAGCCUGACGGAGCAACGCCGCGUGAGGGAUGAAGGUCUUCGGAUCGUAAAACUCUGUUAUUAGGGAAGAACAAAUGUGUAGGUAACUAUGCACGUCUUGACGGUACCUAAUCAGAAAGCCACGGCUAACUACGUG
rnacentral:rRNA from 1 species